rnacentral:rRNA from 1 species
CCUACGGGAGGCUGCAGUGGGGGAUAUUGCACAAUGGGGGGAACCCUGAUGCAGCGACGCCGCGUGGGUGAAGAAGCGCCUCGGCGCGUAAAGCCCUGUCAGCAGGGAAGAAAAUGACGGUACCUGAAGCAGAAGCCCCGGCUAACUACGUGCCAGCAGCCGAGAUAAUACGUAGGGGGCAAGCGUUAUCCGGAUUUACGGGGGGUAAAGGGGGCGCAGGCGGCGAUGCAAGCCAGGAGUGAAAGCCCGGGGCCCAACCCCGGGACUGCUCUUGGAACUGGGUGGCUGGAGUGCAGGAGGGGCAGGCGGAAUGCCUGGUGUAGCGGUGAAAUGCGGAGAUAUCAGGAGGAACACCGGUGGCGAAGGCGGCCUGCUGGACUGCAACUGACGUUGAGGCCCGAAAGCGUGGGGAGCGAACAGGAUUAGAUACCCUUGUAGUC